UACGGAGGGUGCGAGCGUUGUCCGGAAUCACUGGGCGUAAAGGGCGCGUAGGCGGCCUGAUAAGUAGGGGGUGAAAUCCUGCGGCUUAACCGCAGGGCUGCCUUCUAAACUGUCAGGCUUGAGCACAGUAGAGGCAGGUGGAAUUCCCGGUGUAGCGGUGGAAUGCGUAGAGAUCGGGAAGAACAUCAGUGGCGAAGGCGGCCUGCUGGGCUGUUACUGACGCUGAGGCACGAAAGCGUGGGGAGCAAACAGG
rnacentral:rRNA from 1 species